rnacentral:lncRNA from 1 species
CGUCUCACUAACCCCUUAUGGACUUUUCGUAAUUUCUUGAAUUGUUGGGGUAGGAGCUUGAUCAUGACUUUAUCACCCUCCUUGUAUUCAACAUGCCGUCUCCUUGUAUCCGCCCACUUCUUCAUUUUCCUCGCGGCUUUGUCGAGGUAGGCUCGCGUGAUGUCCGCUUCCUCAUGCCAUUCGCGGGCGAGCUUAUGUGCUGCGGGGCUUUGCUUUGUCGAGGUAGGCUCGCGUGAUAUCCGCUUCCUCAUGCCAUUCGCGGGCGAGCUUAUGUGCCGUGGGGAUUUUUCCUUCAUAAGUUGAGGCUAUGGCAUUGAGGGUCAUAGGCUGGAAUCCCAUGAUGAUCUCGAAUGGG